rnacentral:rRNA from 1 species
UACGUAGGGGGCAAGCGUUAUCCGGAAUUACUGGGUGUAAAGGGAGCGUAGACGGUAAUGUAAGUCUGGAGUGAAAGGCGGGGGCCCAACCCCCGGACUGCUCUGGAAACUAUGUUACUAGAGUGCAGGAGAGGUAAGUGGAAUUCCUAGUGUAGCGGUGAAAUGCGUAGAUAUUAGGAGGAACACCAGUGGCGAAGGCGGCUUACUGGACUGUAACUGACGUUGAGGCUCGAAAGCGUGGGGAGCAAACAGG